rnacentral:rRNA from 1 species
GUAUAAGAGACAGCAGUCGCCGCGGGAAUACGGAGGGUGCAAGCGUUAAUCGGAAUUACUGGGCGUAAAGCGCACGCAGGCGGUUUGUUAAGUCAGAUGUGAAAUCCCCGAGCUUAACUUGGGAACUGCAUUUGAAACUGGCAAGCUAGAGUCUUGUAGAGGGGGGUAGAAUUCCAGGUGUAGCGGUGAAAUGCGUAGAGAUCUGGAGGAAUACCGAUGGCGAAGGCAGCCAUCUGGCCUAAUACUGACGCUGAGGUACGAAAGCAUGGGGAGCAAACAGGAUUAGAUACCCGAGUAGUCCCUGUCUCUUAUAC